rnacentral:rRNA from 1 species
CUAAUACAUGCAAGUCGAGCGGAUUGAUGGGAGCUUGCUCCCAGUCAGUCAGCGGCGGACGGGUGAGUAACACGUGGGUAACCUGCCUGUAAGACUGGGAUAACUCCGGGAAACCGGGGCUAAUACCGGAUAACUCAUUUCCUCGCAUGAGGAAAUGUUGAAAGGUGGCUUUUAGCUAUCACUUACAGAUGGACCCGCGGCGCAUUAGCUAGUUGGUGAGGUAACGGCUCACCAAGGCGACGAUGCGUAGCCGACCUGAGAGGGUGAUCGGCCACACUGGGACUGAGACACGGCCCAGACUCCUACGGGAGGCAGCAGUAGGGAAUCUUCCGCAAUGGACGAAAGUCUGACGGAGCAACGCCGCGUGAGUGAUGAAGGUUUUCGGAUCGUAAAACUCUGUUGUUAGGGAAGAACAAGUACCGUUCGAAUAGGGCGGUACCUUGACGGUACCUAACCAGAAAGCCACGGCUAACUACGUGCCAGCAGCCGCGGUAAUACGUAGGUGGCAAGCGUUGUCCGGAAUUAUUGGGCGUAAAGCGCGCGCAGGUGGUUCCUUAAGUCUGAUGUGAAAGCCCACGGCUCAACCGUGGAGGGUCAUUGGAAACUGGGGGAACUUGAGUGCAGAAGAGGAAAGU